rnacentral:rRNA from 1 species
AACGAACGCUGGCGGCAUGCCUAACACAUGCAAGUCGAACGAGACCUUCGGGUCUAGUGGCGCACGGGUGCGUAACGCGUGGGAACCUGCCCUUAGGUUCGGAAUAACUCCCCGAAAGGGGUGCUAAUACCGGAUAAUGUCUUCGGACCAAAGAUUUAUCGCCUUUGGAUGGGCCCGCGUUGGAUUAGCUAGUUGGUAGGGUAAAAGCCUACCAAGGCGACGAUCCAUAGCUGGUCUGAGAGGAUGAUCAGCCACACUGGGACUGAGACACGGCCCAGACUCCUAGGGGGGGCAGCAGGGGGAAAUAUUGGACAAGGGGCGAAAGCCUGACCCAGCAAUGCCGGGUGAGUGAUGAAGGCCUUGGGUUUUUAAAGCUCUUUUACCCGGGAUGAAAAGGAAAGUACCGGGAGAAUAAGCCCCGGCUAACUCCGG